AACGAACGCUGGCGGCAUGCUUAACACAUGCAAGUCGAACGAGACCUUCGGGUCUAGUGGCGCACGGGUGCGUAACGCGUGGGAAUCUGCCCUUUGCUACGGAAUAACUCAGAGAAAUUUGUGCUAAUACCGUAUAAUGUCGAAAGACCAAAGAUUUAUCGGCAAAGGAUGAGCCCGCGUAGGAUUAGCUAGUUGGUGAGGUAAAGGCUCACCAAGGCGACGAUCCUUAGCUGGUCUGAGAGGAUGAUCAGCCACACUGGGACUGAGACACGGCCCAGACUGCUACGGGAGGCAGGAGUGGGGAAUAUUGGACAAUGGGCGAAAGCCUGAUCCAGCAAUGCCGCGUGAGUGAUGAAGGCCUUAGGGUUGUAAAGCUCUUUUACCAGGGAUGAUAAUGACAGUACCUGGAGAAUAAGCUCCGGCUAACUCCGUGCCAGCCGCCGCAGUAAUAC
rnacentral:rRNA from 1 species